GAUUGCAGUGGUUGUCAUGUUUUGAGAGAGGUUUUUCAUACAAAUGGUAAGAGUGAAUGUGGUUGAGUGCUUUCUUGAUUUGAUGAUUGAUUAAAAUAAUGUAGGAAAAGUAAAAGAUUGAAUUCACUUGUGAUGAUAAGUUUUGGAUUUUAUAUUUGGUAGGAGAGAAGAGUAUGAAGCUUGUAAUCCAUGGAGGAAUUGGUGUUUUCUAUCAUGCUGUGCUUGAAGUUUUUUUAACACUGAUGGGCUUCCGCCGGUUAUGGAGAAAUCAUUCUUCGAUUUUAGUACAGAAACUUUCGAUGGAGUGAAGCAAUUUCUUGUUGACUAUGGUCAGUUAAAGGUGCUUGAUAGAUACAUAAUCAUUCAUGAUUCAAUAUCCAGUUUCUAUGACGUCCUCUGUACAAAAAUGAGCCACAAUGACAUUGGUAGCACCCAAGGUGUUGAACUGCAGAUGCCCCAACCAGGUGCUAGAGUUCAGCUGGUUUUGUUGAUUGCUAAUUUUGAUUGCUUUUCAAUGUCUUUACAAGUUUCUGUGCUUGAUACAUGCUGUAGAUUUACGUCAACCAAUGACAGAAGAAAUGCACGUCUCCGGGAAUCCAAUACGAAAUCCAAAGACUAGAAUUGCCGCACAGAGAGAGAGAACUGGAAAGCUGCAACUAAGUGAUUUAGCCCAGUUUUUUCACCUUCCUAUGACAGAGGCUUCUAAACAACUAAAACUAUGCUCUACAGCAAUCAAGAAGAUAUGUCGAAAA